rnacentral:rRNA from 1 species
GAGCUGGUAUCAGGCACGAAAAUCUGCCCAAGACACCUAGCUAUGCCACACCCACAAGGGAAUUCAGCAGUGAUUAACAUUGAGUAUAAGCGUAAGCUUGACUCAGUUAAGGUAAUAAAGAGCCGGCUAAUCUGGUGCCAGCCGCCGCGGUUACACCACGUGGCUCAAAUUGACCUCCUUCGGCGUAAAGCGUGAUUAAAGUUAUAAACCACUAGAAUUAAACUAAAACUAAGCUGUGACACGCUUGUUUUUAAGAAACCCAAAAACGAAAGUUAUUCUACUACAACCAACUUGAACUCACGACAGCUGAGAAACAAACUGGGAUUAGAUACCCCACUAUGCUCAGCCGUAAACUUUUACUUACACCUAAUCGCCAGGGAACUACGA